rnacentral:rRNA from 1 species
AGCAUAUCAAUAAGCGGAGGAAAAGAAACCAACAGGGAUUGCCCUAGUAACGGCGAGUGAAGCGGCAACAGCUCAAAUUUGAAAUCUGGCUUCGGCCCGAGUUGUAAUUUGCAGAGGAAGCUUUAGGCGCGGCACCUUCUGAGUCCCCUGGAACGGGGCGCCAUAGAGGGUGAGAGCCCCGUAUAGUUGGAUGCCUAGCCUGUGUAAAGCUCCUUCGACGAGUCGAGUAGUUUGGGAAUGCUGCUCAAAAUGGGAGGUAAAUUUCUUCUAAAGCUAAAUACCGGCCAGAGACCGAUAGCGCACAAGUAGAGUGAUCGAAAGAUGAAAAGCACUUUGAAAAGAGGGUUAAACAGCACGUGAAAUUGUUGAAAGGGAAGCGCUUGUGACCAGACUUGCGCCAGGCUGAUCAUCCGGUGUUCUCACCGGUGCACUCGGCCCGGCACAGGCCAGCAUCGGUUCUCGCGGGGGGAUAAAGGUCUCGGGAACGUAGCUCCUCCGGGAGUGUUAUAGCCCGGGGCGUAAUGCCCUCGCGGGGACCGAGGUUCGCGCAUCUGCAAGGAUGCUGGCGUAAUGGUCAUCAGCGACCCGUCUUGAAACACGGACCAAGGAGUCAAGGUUUUGCGCGAGUGUUUGGGUGUCAAACCCGCACGCGUAAUGAAAGUGAACGUAGGUGAGAGCUUCGGCGCAUCAUCGACCGAUCCUGAUGUUUUCGGAUGGAUUUGAGUAGGAGCGUUAAGCCUUGGACCCGAAAGAUGGUGAACUAUGCUUGGAUAGGGUGAAGCCAGAGGAAACUCUGGUGGAGGCUCGCAGCGGUUCUGACGUGCAAAUCGAUCGUCAAAUCUGAGCAUGGGGGCGAAAGACUAAUCGAACCAUCUAGUAGCUGGUUACCGCCGAAGU